UUGACAGAUUGCGAUUCGUGCUCGCGUCGUCUGCCAAAGAUGAUUUGCAAAUUUUUCAUACUAGAAGCAAGGAGAUUGAAAAUUAUUCACAGGAAUAACAGUUUAUUUUGAGGCAAACAAAAUCAACAUUCAAUUAAAUAAAAAAGAGAGUUAAGGAAUUUACGUGCUUUUCCAUGCAUUGUAAGAUUUCCAGAAUAUAGAACAUGUAGUUCCUGAUAAAAAAAACACCAAAAGAUUGCUACGAUAAAACUGUUGAGUAACUAUUUGUAAUACAGAAUGCAUCAAGAUGGUGGUAUGCUACAUAUAUAAUAUUGAUACUAUGACAGAUGAGAAAAGAAACUGAAGACAUAACCAAAUGCUGAAGUCAGCAAAGAUUAAGAUAUAAGGAGUAGAUAUUUUCCUGAAAAUCUCAUUUAUGUCUCGAAUGUGAAGGGAACAGAAGCUAUCAUGAUGAUUCUUUAAAGAAAGAUACAGAGACACAAGCUCCUGUAGACACUUAUGAAAAAGAAGAUGUUUUUGCAAUGAAUAUGUGUGAAUGUGAUAAAUUAUGGCAAAUCAACAUGGUCAAUUAACAACAAUAUGUUCUACAAAGUUCCUAGAUUUAUAAGUUUCAUAACAUUUAGUUGAGGCAAACUGAAGUUAGAUAACUAAAAAAAUUGCAAAUAAAUAUUGCUAUUAAAUACUCAGUUUUAGUUAUUUUUAUUUUGAUAUUAAAAAAAUACUGCAUUAGAUAAAAACUAGUUAUACAUUUAAAAAAUUAGUAACCCUCAUGUCUCCCUGCAUUAGAAGUUGCAUAAUUUAGCAUUUACAGAUGAAAUAUAAUUGUGAGUAAAGUUCAUCAUGUGAAAUAGUCUGACUGGAUAUGACAGAACAUCAAAAGAAAUGACGAAAAAUUACACAUCUUAUCAAAAUAGUACUACUAGAAACCAAAAGCUACUUGCAAUUUUCACUGGUUUUAAUUGAGAUCAGUAACAGUCAGACAAGGAAAGAAUUUAAUGAACAUGAUUAUGAUGCCUCUUGAUAAAUAUAAAAACAUAUUGACUGUAAAAUAAUUACCAGUUACCAAUUAUAUCUGUUGUUUACAAAAUUUGUUAUUUGGAAAUAUCUGUUGAAUGUUUUGAAAUUAAAAUGUGUUAACUGAAAUGAUUAAAGAAUUGAAGUCUUUAAAUGAUACAAAAGCAAGGAUACAUUGAAUGAUUGCAAUUGAGACAACUGCUAGCCCUGCAUAGAAGGGCACUGAUGUAAACAAGUACAGAUCACCUGAAGUCUUCAACAAUGAGCAAAAGCCUGAAUUUAAAGAUCGUUAUACAUGGGCUUAUUAAGUCCCAAGAUAAUGGUAUCUACAUCCUUUGCUUUCAAAUUUUUGUUAGUAUGUUUCUGAUGAAGGUUAAUUAAAAUAAGCCCAGCACACUCAAUUUGUGAACUGUUUUUAUUUAAUUUCAAAAGAGAAAGCUA